rnacentral:rRNA from 1 species
CAUGCAAGUCGAGCGGUAACAGAUCUAGCUUGCUAGAUGCUGACGAGCGGCGGACGGGUGAGUAAUGCUUAGGAAUCUGCCUGGUAGUGGGGGAUAGCCCGGGGAAACCCGGAUUAAUACCGCAUACGCCCUACGGGGGAAAGCAGGGGAUCUUCGGACCUUGCGCUAUUGGAUGAGCCUAAGUCGGAUUAGCUAGUUGGUGGGGUAAAGGCCUACCAAGGCGACGAUCCGUAGCUGGUCUGAGAGGAUGAUCAGCCACAUCGGGACUGAGACACGGCCCGAACUCCUACGGGAGGCAGCAGUGGGGAAUAUUGGACAAUGGGGGCAACCCUGAUCCAGCCAUGCCGCGUGUGUGAAGAAGGCUUUCGGGUUGUAAAG